UAACUUCGGGAGAAGGCACGCUGACACGUAGGUGAAGUGAUUUACUCAUGGAGCUGAAGUCAGUCGAAGAUACCAGCUGGCUGCAACUGUUUAUUAAAAACACAGCACUGUGCAAACACGAAAGUGGACGUAUACGGUGUGACGCCUGCCCGGUGCCGGAAGGUUAAUUGAUGGGGUCAGCGCAAGCGAAGCUCCUGAUCGAAGCCCCGGUAAACGGCGGCCGUAACUAUAACGGUCCUAAGGUAGCGAAAUUCCUUGUCGGGUAAGUUCCGACCUGCACGAAUGGCGUAAUGAUGGCCAGGCUGUCUCCACCCGAGACUCAGUGAAAUUGAACUCGCUGUGAAGAUGCAGUGUACCCGCGGCAAGACGGAAAGACCCCGUGAACCUUUACUAUAGCUUGACACUGAACAUUGAGCCUUGAUGUGUAGGAUAGGUGGGAGGCUUUGAAGUGUGGACGCCAGUCUGCAUGGAGCCGACCUUGAAAUACCACCCUUUAAUGUUUGAUGUUCUAACGUGGACCCGUGAUCCGGGUUGCGGACAGUGUCUGGUGGGUAGUUUGACUGGGGCGGUCUCCUCCUAAAGAGUAACGGAGGAGCACGAAGGUUGGCUAAUCCUGGUCGGACAUCAGGAGGUUAGUGCAAUGGCAUAAGCCAGCUUGACUGCGAGCGUGACGGCGCGAGCAGGUGCGAAAGCAGGUCAUAGUGAUCCGGUGGUUCUGAAUGGAAGGGCCAUCGCUCAACGGAUAAAAGGUACUCCGGGGAUAACAGGCUGAUACCGCCCAAGAGUUCAUAUCGACGGCGGUGUUUGGCACCUCGAUGUCGGCUCAUCACAUCCUGGGGCUGAAGUAGGUCCCAAGGGUAUGGCUGUUCGCCAUUUAAAGUGGUACGCGAGCUGGGUUUAGAACGUCGUGAGACAGUUCGGUCCCUAUCUGCCGUGGGCGCUGGAGAACUGAGGGGGGCUGCUCCUAGUACGAGAGGACCGGAGUGGACGCAUCACUGGUGUUCGGGUUGUCAUGCCAAUGGCACUGCCCGGUAGCUAAAUGCGGAAGAGAUAAGUGCUGAAAGCAUCUAAGCACGAAACUUGCCCCGAGAUGAGUUCUCCCUGAGACUUUAGGUCUCCUGAAGGAACGUUGAAGACGACGACGUUGAUAGGCCGGGUGUGUAAGCGCAGCGAUGCGUUGAGCUAACCGGUACUAAUGAACCGUGAGGCUUAACCUUACA
rnacentral:rRNA from 2 species